AUACGAAGGGGGCUAGCGUUGCUCGGAAUCACUGGGCGUAAAGCGCACGUAGGCGGCUUCUUAAGUCAGGGGUGAAAUCCUGGAGCUCAACUCCAGAACUGCCCUUGAUACUGAGGAGCUGGAGUCCGGGAGAGGUGAGUGGAACUGCGAGUGUAGAGGUGAAAUUCGUAGAUAUUCGCAAGAACACCAGUGGCGAAGGCGGCUCACUGGCCCGGUACUGACGCUGAGGUGCGAAAGCGUGGGGAGCAAACAGGA
rnacentral:rRNA from 1 species